rnacentral:lncRNA from 1 species
CUUGGUCUAUGUGAAUAUUAAACAAAGGAUGCAGAUGGAUUCAUGACAAAAUUGUGUUUUGGUGAUGGUGAUGUGUUUGUAAAUCUUACUUUACUGAACAUUCUUGCUGCUUACAAUUAUCUCUAUCUAUAAUGAACUUGGCCCAGUAGUUUCAGAGGAGAAGAUUUUUGUAAAAGAUAACUAAGAUUUACGAAAAAUGGUUCAAAAUUGACUAUAAAGGGCAAUAACUCCUAAGGGGUCAACUGACCAUUUCAGUCAUGUUGACUUAUUUGUAAAUCUUUACUUUGCUGAACAUUAUUGCUGUUUACAGUUUAUCUCUAUCUAUAAUAAUAUUCAAGAUAAUAACCAAAAACAGCAAAAUUUCCUUAAAAUUACCAAUUCAGGGGCAGCAACCCAACAACAGGUCGUCCGAUUCAUCUGAAAAUUUCAGGGCAGAUAGAUCUUGACCAUAUAAUCAAUUUUACUUACGUCAGAUUUGCUCUAAAUGCUUUGGUUUUUGAGUUAUAAGCCAAAAACUGAAUUUUACCCCUAUGUUCUAUUUUUAGCUGUGGCGGCCAUCUUGGUUGGUUGGCCGGGUCACGCCACACAUUUUUUAAAACUAGAUACCCCAAUGAUGAUUGUGGCCAAGUUUGGUUUAAUUUGGCCCAGUGGUUUC